UCCAACGGCCAUACCAUGUUGAAUACACCGGUUCUCGUCCGAUCACCGAAGUUAAGCAACAUCGGGCGUGGUUAGUACCUGGAUGGGUGACCGCCUGGGAAUACCGCAUGCUGUUGGCA
rnacentral:rRNA from 1 species